rnacentral:siRNA from 1 species
AAGAUAGGUACGUAGAGUUGUAC